rnacentral:rRNA from 1 species
UACGUAGGGUGCAAGCGUUAAUCGGAAUUACUGGGCGUAAAGCGUGCGCAGGCGGCUAUGCAAGACAGAUGUGAAAUCCCCCGGGCUUAACCUGGGAACUGCAUUUGUGACUGCAUGGCUAGAGUACGGUAGAGGGGGAUGGAAUUCCGGCGUGUAGCAGUGAAAUGCGUAGAUAUGCGGAGGAACACCGAUGGCGAAGGCAAUCCCCUGGACCUGUACUGACGCUCAUGCACGAAAGCGUGGGGAGCAAACAGG